AAAAAGAUAAACCGUUCCCGUGCCAAUGUUUGACUGUCCGUCUUAUAUAAAAUUUUUUUAUAAUUAGUAUUUUCAUUGUUGUUAGAUGAUAAAACAUAAUUAAUACUUUAUGCGUGACUUAUCUUUUUAAUUUUUUUUCAUAAUUUUUUCAAAUAAGACAGACGGUCAAACGCUGGACACGGAAAUCAGGGUUUGUCUUUUU
rfam:Oryza sativa (indica cultivar-group) chromosome 3, whole genome shotgun sequence.